GAUGAAGAACGCAGCGAAAUGCGAUAAGUAAUGUGAAUUGCAGAGUUUUGUGAAUCAUCGAAUCUUUGAACGCACAUUGCGCCCUUUGGUAUUCCUUAGGGCAUGCCUGUUCGAGCGUCAUUUAAACCUUCAAGCUAAGCUUGGUGUUGGGUGACUGUCCGCUUCACUGCGGACUCGCCUCAAAAUUAUUGGCGGCCGGUACAUUGGCUUCGAGCGCAGCAGAAACGCGAACUCGGGCCCGUCGUAUUGGCUCCCAGAAGCUAUCUUCACAAUUUUGACCUCGGAUCAGGUAGGGAUACCCGCUGAACUUAAGCAUAUCAAUAAGCGGAGGA
rnacentral:misc_RNA from 1 species